rnacentral:rRNA from 1 species
UACGUAGGGUGCGAGCGUUAAUCGGAAUUACUGAGCGUAAAGCGUGCGCAGGCGGUUCGUUGUGUCGGCGGUGAAAGCCCCGGGCUUAACCUGGGAAUGGCCGUUGAAACUGGCGAACUGGAGUGUGGCAGAGGGGGGUGGAAUUCCGCGUGUAGCAGUGAAAUGCGUAGAGAUGCGGAGGAACACCGAUGGCGAAGGCAGCCCCCUGGGCUAACACUGACGCUCAGGCACGAAAGCGUGGGGAGCAAACAGG